UCCUCUCGCUUUCUCUAUCUCUCUCUCCCGCUGCUUCCUUGGUUUAGUGUUGCCUGUGUUGUGCCCGAAAGCAGUGUUGUAGAUUUUAUUGCGCUGUGCCCGUAAUCAUUGAGUGACCACCCUGUGCGUGUGUUGCCGCGUCAGGAAGGGAGUGUUGCGUCUCCAGGAGGGUCUUCCCCUUCCGAGUUGCGUCUGCGCUUGCUUCCUUCGUCAGGCACUUCCCGCCUCACGCCUUGCUUCCUCCCGUCUCCCAGAGUCUACACACCUGCACUCUUGAGAUUUGUAUCAACCAGCAGCAGCAGCAGCAGCAGCAUGUCAGUAGUAGCAGGAGUAGUGAAUGGUCCACUCGUAUGUGGUGAC